CAGUCAAAAGUUGUCGUCUGCUUUGUUUAAAAGUUUCGUAGAAGCAUUGAACAAGAGACAAAGUUUAAAAGAUUACAAAGAAAACGGAACCAUUAUACUUUUUGGGAAACGUACACGUUGCUGCACGAGAAAAAGCACAACAAAUAAAACUACAAAAAUGUGGUCGUCGUGUCUCGUGUGAAACUGGUGUCGCGACUCUCCGUGCUCUCCACGCCAUGCCGUUUGGCAGAUUUGAGGCCUGCCAUCGUUACAAAAAAUAUAUGCCAGUUUUCACUUCUGCUGGUAUUGACUGUCAACAGCAACAACCUCACCAUCAUCGCUUGGAUAAACAGCAUCCCGUUUGAGUUGGAAAACCUACCCAGGAUGUCGGUCGAGUUACGGAUCUCUUCUUCCCCUUUCUUGAAAUGUCCACGUGUACACCCAUGUGAGUGUGGGGGUAUUCACGAGACUUUUCCUAUCCCGCCUGGUGGAUUCAACUUUUCUGCGGAUGGAUGGAUCGCUUGUGGAUGCCUGGCCGUAUUUCCCGGCCUUAAAGGUAGGAAAACUGUUUCUCUAUUCUUCCUUUUUUGACUAUCUGGUGGCUUUGUUUUAUAAAUCGUGACAUAGUACGGAGUACGAUUAUUCCUGAGCUAUGCGAUUGACUGGAACUGUUUUCUCUUGCCAUUUUUGUUGACUCAGUUAGGGUUCAUUAAAUAACUCGUUUGUUGAACGACUGGAGAUCAGGCCUGUUUUUGUACCCCACAAUUUUGUCUGUGGGUUAAUGAAUCAAAUUCGAACAUAUUUGAACUUUUAAACACUUCCAGGAAAGUGCAAUUAAAAAUUGUAUGACCAAGAGGGACCAGCCGCCACACCGGUACCUCCUCGUUGUUAUUUCAUUCAUACACACAUCUACCCUCUUAAAAUCCCCAGCAAUGCCCAUGCAAUUUUUGUUUUUCC